rnacentral:rRNA from 1 species
UACGUAGGGGCUAGCGUUGUCCGGAUUAUUGGGCGUAAAGAGCGUGUAGGCGGCCAGAUAGGUCAGCUGUGAAACUCGGGCUCAACCCUGAGACGUCGGUUGAAACCAUCUGGCUAGAGUCCGGAAGAGGAGUGUGGAAUUCCUGGUGUAGCGGUGAAAUGCGCAGAUACUAGGAGGAACACCGAUGGCGAAGGCAGGUCUCUGGGCCACUACUGACGCUGAGAAGCGAAAGCAUGGGGAGCGAACAGG